rnacentral:rRNA from 1 species
UACGUAGGCAGCGAGCGUUGUUCGGAGUUACUGGGCGUAAAGCGUGCGCAGGCGGUUUUGUAAGUCUGUCGUGAAAUCCCCGGGCUCAACCUGGGAAUUGCGAUGGAGACUGCAAGGCUAGAAUCUGGCAGAGGGGGGUAGAAUUCCACGUGUAGCAGUGAAAUGCGUAGAGAUGUGGAGGAACACCGAUGGCGAAGGCAGCCCCCUGGGUCAAGAUUGACGCUCAUGCACGAAAGCGUGGGGAGCAAACGAGGA